UAACGACUCAAUUACGAGCCGGCAUAAUAAAUGGAUUCGGAUGUAUUAUAUCUUGCAACUUUAGUUAAAAAAUUGUUGAAAAAUGGAAGAUGAUAGCGAUUACGAUGAGUUUUCCGUUCAACCGUAUAUGUAUGAGCCAGAAUUGAGUGACAGUCAAUCAGAUUUUUUCUGAUUCUGACUCGGACAGCGAGGAAAAUUUUGCCGAUGCCCAAGACGACCAUCGUGUUGGGAAUACGGAUUGGUGUGCAUGUUCAUGUUGCACACCAUAUCGUGUGCAGAUUGAGUGCAAAUGCUGCACAGAAUACCCAGAGCUGAUGGAAAGGAUGGACGAGGCAGGGGUAAAGUGCAUAACUGAGCACACUGGCUUCAAAGCUAACUGUCUACAUCCAGAUGUCAUUGAAGUUUCGUUUUAUGAGUUCCUUGAUGUAAAUGGUGCCAUCGGUGAUGAAUAACCAAUACAUGAAGUAUACAGAUACAUUGCAUAUAGAAGACUGGCUCGUUGGAUUUGGCACCGUCAGAGCAAGAAGGAUCGACGACCUCUUCCGUCAUGCGCUGUGGCAGCCAGAGAUUUCCGUCCGACUCAUACAUUUGAUUUGCUUCGCCAGGGAUGGAAACUAACGUUUUACAGUUGGUUGCCCACAUGGACAACCAUCUAUAGUUUUUUGGUUUCCCAUCGUAAGCCUCAACGCGCCCAGUACUAUGUACAUGUAGUGUCAUGUGUAACCAAUACUUUCUUUAAAAGUAAUAGAUAACUAUACAACAAAACGGGCAACCACUAAUUUCCAUCCCUGUUCGCUAAUUAAAUCGCGAACGAUGGUUCUGCACAGCCUCUGUUUUCAGGAUUCUGUUUGCAGAUGAAGACGGGUGGCGGUGAAAACAGAAUGUUGCCAGAGGCAGCCCUUGCAUUGGCAUCGCUCUUGUACUCCUCUUUCAUCCUAAGCAGCUCUGCCAUUAGUUCAUCAACAUAGUCUGAAAGUUAUAUUAAAAUAAACUAUAAUUAUUGAUAAAUUGUUCCUUCUUAUUAGAGAAUAAUAAACAAUGAAUGUUUUUUGUAUUGUUGUCGUCAACCAUGUACUACAGAAAUCUAUUGCUUUA